UCGCGGCCUAUCAGCUUGUUGGUGGGGUAAUGGCCUACCAAGGCAACGACGGGUAGCCGGCCUGAGAGGGUGACCGGCCACACUGGGACUGAGACACGGCCCAGACUCCUACGGGAGGCAGCAGUGGGGAAUAUUGGACAAUGGGCGAAAGCCUGAUCCAGCAACGCCGCGUGAGGGAUGACGGCCUUCGGGUUGUAAACCUCUUUCAGCAGGGACGAAGCGCAAGUGACGGUACCUGCAGAAGAAGCACCGGCCAACUACGUGCCAGCAGCCGCGGUAAUACGUAGGGUGCGAGCGUUGUCCGGAAUUAUUGGGCGUAAAGGGCUCGUAGGCGGUUUGUCGCGUCGGGAGUGAAAACUCAGGGCUUAACCCUGAGCCUGCUUCCGAUACGGGCAGACUAGAGGUAUGCAGGGGAGAACGGAAUUCCUGGUGUAGCGGUGAAAUGCGCAGAUAUCAGGAGGAACACCGGUGGCGAAGGCGGUUCUCUGGGCAUUACCUGACGCUGAGGAGCGAAAGUGUGGGGAGCGAACAGGAUUAGAUACCCUGGUAGUCCACGCCGUAAACGUUGGGCGCUAGGUGUGGGACUCAUUCCACGAGUUCCGUGCCGCAGCUAACGCAUUAAGCGCCCCGCCUGGGGAGUACGGAAGCUUGGAAUUCGCCC
rnacentral:rRNA from 1 species